AACAGAUAUUGCAACGCUCGACGUAACACUAAAAGCGGAUUCUAUCCAUUUACGUAACAUAUAAAGGUAUAAUCUGGGAGAGCACGGAAAUGGUGGUUUCUCCUCCUUCUCCUCUCUCUCUCCUUUUUACUAGAUGCCGAAAUAGAAAGAAAAAGGAAAACAGGAGAAGUGAGGUUGUUGUGGUAACAUACAGAGAACCUGAAGGAGAGCUCACUUGAGCACAAUGGAUUGUAGGAGGCGUGCUGCGGGAAAACGAAUAGUUAAACAUUUCCCAUCCACGU
ensembl:ncRNA K08F8.9 ncRNA